GGACCCGCACAAGCGGUGGAGCAUGUGGUUUAAUUCGACGCAACGCGAAGAACCUUACCAAGUCUUGACAUCCUUUUGACCGGUCGGUAAUGCGACCUUCUCUUCGGAGCAAAAGUGACAGGUGGUGCAUGGUUGUCGUCAGCUCGUGUCGUGAGAUGUUGGGUUAAGUCCCGCAACGAGCGCAACCCUUAUCUUUAGUAGCCAGCAUUUUAAGAUGGGCACUCUAGAGAGACUGCCAGGGAUAACCUGGAGGAAGGUGGGGAUGACGUCAAAUCAUCAUGCCCCUUAUGACUUGGGCUACACACGUGCUACAAUGGCGUAAACAAAGAGAAGCAAGACUGUGAAGUGGAGCAAAUCUCAAAAAUAACGUCUCAGUUCGGAUUGUAGUCUGCAACUCGACUACAUGAAGCUGGAAUCGCUAGUAAUCGCGAAUCAGAAUGUCGCGGUGAAUACGUUCCCGGGUCUU
rnacentral:rRNA from 1 species